GGACCAGACCACCACAAGGCAUCAGGAUGGUGAAAGCAACUAAGAAGAGGCACAAUCUGAUACAGGAUGUUGUGCCAUCAACCACAACAUCCAAACCCAAGAGAGUGAUGAACUGCCUCAUACCAGAUGCUGUGCCAUCAACCUGGACUUCCGAACCCAAGACAGUGAAGAUUUGCUGUCAUCAGUCCAGGUCCAAAUGUAGCAAAAAGAUUAGAAGGCCCAAGGUGCCUACCACGAAGAGCAAGAAAACCCUGCGAAGGACGCUGAAAAGAAAGACAUCUGCAAACAAUACACCACCUAAAAAGGGCGUUUUGAUGCGUGUUUGAGAAUGCUGGUAGAUUCAGCAUGCCACCUAAAGGAGGUGUGGCAUCUGAGCAAUGGCCAAAUGUGUAGAUACUGUAUAGUUACUACACAGUGCUUUGAUGCUGGUGAAAUUAAGUCAAUCUGAUAUGAAA
ensembl:lincRNA 1700010D01Rik RIKEN cDNA 1700010D01 gene